UAGGUAGCGCCUCGUGAAUUCAUCUCCGGGGGUAGAGCACUGUUUCGGCUAGGGGGCCAUCCCGGCUUACCAACCCGAUGCAAACUGCGAAUACCGGAGAAUGUUAUCACGGGAGACACACGGCGGGUGCUAACGUCCGUCGUGAAGAGGGAAACAACCCAGACCGCCAGCUAAGGUCCCAAAGUCAUGGUUAAGUGGGAAACGAUGUGGGAAGGCCCAGACAGCCAGGAUGUUGGCUUAGAAGCAGCCAUCAUUUAAAGAAAGCGUAAUAGCUCACUGGUCGAGUCGGCCUGCGCGGAAGAUGUAACGGGGCUAAACCAUG
rnacentral:rRNA from 1 species